GACGAACGCUGGCGGCGUGGAUUAGGCAUGCAAGUCGGACGGUAGGGCUUUAUCGUAAGAUAGAGUUUGAGAGUGGCGAACGGGUGAGUAACACGUAGGAAUCUACCCUUAAGACGGGGACAACCCGUCGAAAGGCGGGCUAAUACCGCGUAAGCCGCGAGGUGAGAGGCUGCCUAUUGGUGGCCGCCGAUGGAUGGGUUCGCGUCCUAUCAGCUGGUUGGUGGGGUAACGGCCUACCAAGGCGAAGACGGGUAGCCGGUCUGAGAGGAUGGCCGGCCACACUGGAACUGAGACACGGUCCAGACUCCUACGGGAGGCAGCAGUGGGGAAUAUUGGGCAAUGGGGGAGACCCUGACCCAGCGACGCCGCGUGAGGGAUGAAGGUUUUCGGAUCGUAAACCUCUGUUGUACGGGAAGAAGGAUGUGACGGUACCGUACGAGAAAGCCCCGGCAAACUACGUG
rnacentral:rRNA from 1 species